rnacentral:rRNA from 1 species
CCCAGACUCCUACGGGAGGCAGCAGUGGGGGAUAUUGCACAAUGGGGGGAACCCUGAUGCAGCGACGCCGCGUGGGUGAAGGAGCGUUUCGGCGCGUAAAGCCCUCUCGGCAGGGAAGAAGGAGGACGGUACCUGACUAAGAAGCCCCGGCUAACUACGUGCCAGCAGCCGCGGUAAUACGUAGGGGGCAAGCGUUAUCCGGAGUUACUGGGUGUAAAGGGCGUGUAGGCGGGAGUGCAAGUCAGAUGUGGAAACCACGGGCGCAACCUGUGGCCUGCAUUUGAAACUGUCAAACUAGAGUACGGGAGAGGUAAGAGGAAUUCCUAGUGUAGCGGUGAAAUGCGUAGAUAUUAGGAGGAACACCAGUGGCGAAGGCGUCGUACUGGACCGAAACUGACGUUGAGGCUCGAAAGCGUGGGGAGCAAACAAGAUUAGAUACCCCCGUACAA